CUUUGCCGUGCAGUCCCAAGUGAGAGAGACACAGAGACAGACCGAGCACCUAGAAACCUGAACAAGGACCGAAUGCAGCAGACUGCGCAUCACUGAAAGUUUGCAGAGGACACAGAAGUUGGGGGAGUGGUAAAGAAAGAAGAGGACGAUGGGUCACUGAUUCAGACCAGUCUAUAUCACUUGGGGCAGAACCCAACCAUGCUCCAGGCCAUCCAAUGCCUCAGGCUGGUGCUAGAGGCCCCACCCACGGGGCGAGAUGUAGAACUUCAGCCCUCAGCCGUACAUGAAACCAGGAGAUUUCCCAGAACCUGCUGUCCUAGACCAAUCCCAGCUCAGAGAAUUACCCUCAGCCUAAUUAAACUUCCCCUGCAGCAUCACCCAGAUACAGCAUUCCCUUCUCCUCCUGUCCCAAUCUGUGGUAUGGGAGGGGUUGUCAUUCUAGCUGCCAUGUUCUGCCCUGGGGGCAGCUGCAUUUCACUGGCAGGUGAAGUAAGCCCCAGAUCUGUGUCAUUUGGGACCCUGGCGGAUGAAAGGUGCUCUAGACAUGCAAGUUGCAGAUAUAGCUGGAACUGAGGAGUUGUGCAAUUUUGGGAACUCUUCCAGUGCCAGACCCAGAGGGGCCAUGGAUCAGAUCCCACUGACCAAGGAACCCCCAGCCAAAUAAGGAGGGCUCUGCAGCACCCUGCCACAGGUUCCCUACUUGCAGGGCCACUUAAGAACUCCACACAGUGCAAAGACAACAAGAAAAUCUCCCUACUCGACGAUUUCUACUUCAUUCAGUGUGAAAAAAGUUGAAAGAAAAUCUCUAGCCCCCAGCUUCUACCCUUCAGUUCAGGGGG